rnacentral:rRNA from 1 species
AUUGAACGCUGGCGGCAGGCCUAACACAUGCAAGUCGAACGAGUGGCGGACGGGUGAGUAAUGUAUGGGAAACUGCCUGAUGGAGGGGGAUAACUACUGGAAACGGUAGCUAAUACCGCAUACCAUCGGAUGUGCCCAGAUGGGAUUAGCUAGUAGGUGGGGUAAAGGGGCACCUAGGCGACGAGCCCUAGCUGGUCUGAGAGGAUGACCAGCCACACUGGAACUGAGACACGGUCCGAACUCCUACGGUAGGCAGCAGUGGGGAAUAUGGCACAAUGGGCGAAAGCCUGAUGCAGCCAUGCCGCGUGUAUGAAUAAGGCCUUCGGGUUGUAAAGUACUUUCAGCGGGGAGGCGUUACCCGCAGAAGAAGCACCGGCUAACUCCGUGCCAGCAGCCGCGGUAAUAC